AUUGAACGCUGGCGGCAGGCCUAACACAUGCAAGUCGAGCGAGUGGCGGACGGGUGAGUAAUGUCUGGGGACCUGCCUGAUGGAGGGGGAUAACUACUGGAAACGGUGGCUAAUACCGCAUACUAUCGGAUGACCCCAUAUGGGAUUAGCUAGUUGGUGGGGUAAAGGCUCACCAAGGCGACGCUCCCUAGCUGGUCUGAGAGGAUGACCAGCCACGCGGGAACUGAGAAACGGCCCAGACUCCUACGGGAGGCAGCAGUGGGGAAUAUUGCACAAUGGGCGCAAGCCUGAUGCAGCCAUGCCGCGUGUAUGAAGAAGGCCUUAGGGUUGUAAAGUACUUUCAGCGGGGAGGCGUUACCGACAGAAUAAGCACCGGCUAACUCCGUGCCAGCAGCCGCGGUAAUUC
rnacentral:rRNA from 1 species